AGAUGUCGCUUUGCGUUCCAGGCACCGGUAGCUGCCAGGGUCUGCGGUCCAUUGUACCACAGCAUACUUCCGGUUGCGCUUCACACUAUCUGUGUGGCGCUGCGAAUAGUUCCGCCUUCUGUGCGGGUCAAUUCGCCGGAUGUGACGUCUUUGCUGCGUUCCAUACACCGGAAGCAGCAUCAUCAAAGACGCCCGGGAGCUCUAUUUAAACGCCGGGUGAGCUUCGAUAUCCAGCGGCGUGCUGGCGCUCACCAUCUCCGGUAGCAUACAUCAUAUCCUCAUCUGACAAGCUACCUGGGAUCUAUCUCAGGCUAAAAUGGCCUCAUCUUGUUUAUGCACACGCUGACUCUAUUUAGUGGCUGUGGACAGUUAUCAAUUUUGAUUUGGAACCAAUUGAAUCUGGCUUAUAUGGGAUAUCAUACAUGUACAGGCUGUCGCAUCAGGACCUAACGUUACCUUCUUGAUCUAUCAUCAUUUUCUAUUGAUUAUGGCAUCUACCACUUAUUCACACCUGUGGUAAGAUAAAUUGAUAUACGAUUUGGAAUCUCUAUAAAUAUUCUUUGAGAUUGGAUGUCUCAUGUCCUCUAAUUUGUUUUUUGCAGUAUGGAUUUGUACAUGGAGUGAAUAUAAAUACUCUGAAGAUUACCUCUUUAUUAAUACCUUGACUUGUA